rnacentral:rRNA from 1 species
UACGUAGGGGGCAAGCGUUGUCCGGAUUUAUUGGGCGUAAAGAGCGUGUAGGCGGCCUGGAAGGUCAGCUGUGAAAACUCGAGGCUCAACCUCGAGACGUCGGUUGAAACCACCUGGCUAGAGUCCGGAAGAGGAGAGUGGAAUUCCCGGUGUAGCGGUGAAAUGCGCAGAUAUCGGGAAGAACACCCGUGGCGAAGGCGGCUCUCUGGACGGUUUCUGACGCUAAGACGCGAAAGCGUGGGGAGCAAACAGG